rnacentral:rRNA from 1 species
UACGUAGGGUGCAAGCGUUGUCCGGAAUUAUUGGGCGUAAAGAGCUCGUAGGCGGUUUGUCGCGUCUGCUGUGAAAACUCGGGGCUUAACUCCGGCCUGCAGUGGGUACGGGCAGACUAGAGUGCGGUAGGGGAGACUGGAAUUCCUGGUGUAGCGGUGAAAUGCGCAGAUAUCAGGAGGAACACCGGUGGCGAAGGCGGGUCUCUGGGCCGUAACUGACGCUGAGGAGCGAAAGCGUGGGGAGCGAACAGGAUUAGAACUACCG